UACGUAGGGGGCGAGCGUUGUCCGGAAUUAUUGGGCGUAAAGAGCUCGUAGGCGGCUUAGUAAGUCGGCGGUGAAAUACCGAGGCUCAACCUCGGCACUGCCGUCGAUACUGCUAUGGCUAGAGUCUGGUAGAGGAGAACGGAAUUCCCGGUGUAGCGGUGGAAUGCGCAGAUAUCGGGAGGAACACCCGUAGCGAAGGCGGUUCUCUGGGCCAGUACUGACACUGAGGAGCGAAAGCGUGGGGAGCGAACAGG
rnacentral:rRNA from 1 species